CCCCAGACUCCUACGGGAGGCAGCAGUGGGGAAUAUUGCACAAUGGGGGAAACCCUGAUGCAGCGACGCCGCGUGAGCGAUGAAGUAUUUCGGUAUGUAAAGCUCUAUCAGCAGGGAAGAAAAUGACGGUACCUGACCAAGAAGCCCCGGCUAACUACGUGCCAGCAGCCGCGGUAAUACGUAGGGGGCAAGCGUUAUCCGGAUUUACUGGGUGUAAAGGGAGCGUAGACGGCUGUGCAAGUCAGAAGUGAAAGCCCGGGGCUCAACCCCGGGACUGCUUUUGAAACUGCGUGGCUGGAGUGCAGGAGAGGUAAGCGGAAUUCCUGGUGUAGCGGUGAAAUGCGUAGAUAUCAGGAGGAACACCAGUGGCGAAGGCGGCUUACUGGACUGUAACUGACGUUGAGGCUCGAAAGCGUGGGGAGCAAACAGGAUUAGAUACCCUGGUAA
rnacentral:rRNA from 1 species